rnacentral:rRNA from 1 species
UUUGAAAAUUUUCAUAAAGGGUGCAGCCUGCCCAGUGGGAAAAUAUCUUCCUAAACGGCCGCGGUAUUUUGACCGUGCAAAGGUAGCAUAAUCACUUGUCUCUUAAAUGGGGACCUGUAUGAAUGGCUUCACAUUUUUUUACUGUCUCCCUUCUUCUCCCUUUAAACUUCUAUUUACGUGAAGAAGCGUAAUUUCCAAAGAAAGACGAGAAGACCCUGUCGAGCUUUAACUAAAGCCAAAAGAUCAAUACCUUAACCACAAAGGAAAACAUAUUUGGCCGAAGUUUUGGUUGGGGCAACCAUGGAGUAAAACUAACCUCCAGUUUUUUAGAAAGAGAUCAACUCAUCUAGACCAUCACUUAGAGAACCAGAAACUCUGGAAAACGGAAAAAGUUACCGCAGGGAUAACAGCGUUAUCUUCUCCAAGAGCUCAUAUUGACGAGAAGGAUUGCGACCUCGAUGUUGGAUUGGGGUAACCCGGGGGUGCAGCAGCUCUCUGAGGUUGGA